rnacentral:rRNA from 1 species
GACGAACGCUGGCGGCGUGCCUAAUACAUGCAAGUCGAGCGCAGGAAACUGACGGAACUCUUCGGAGGGAAGGCAGUGGAAUGAGCGGCGGACGGGUGAGUAACACGUAAGGAACCUGCCUCAAGGAUUGGGAUAACUCCGAGAAAUCGGAGCUAAUACCGGAUAGUUCAUCGGACCGCAUGGUCCGUUGAUGAAAGGCGCUUCGGCGUCACCUUGAGAUGGCCUUGCGGUGCAUUAGCUAGUUGGUGGGGUAACGGCCCACCAAGGCGACGAUGCAUAGCCGACCUGAGAGGGUGAUCGGCCACACUGGGACUGAGACACGGCCCAGACUCCUACGGGAGGCAGCAGUAGGGAAUCUUCCACAAUGGACGAAAGUCUGAUGGAGCAACGCCGCGUGAGUGAGGAAGGUUUUCGGAUCGUAAAACUCUGUUGUAAGGGAAGAACACGUACGAGAGGGAAUGCUCGUACCCUGACGGUACCUUACGAGAAAGCCACGGCUAACUACGUGCCAGCAGCCGCCGCAG